rnacentral:lncRNA from 1 species
GGGGCGGGGUCGGCGACCGCGGCAGGUUGGGGCGGCUGCUCGCUCGCGCGCAGAACGCGGCGGUCAGCUGCGCCCGGCCUGAAGUUGUCCCAACCGCGGCCGCGUCGGUCGCCCUUUUGACUUGCAGCAGGGCGGGCAGAGCGACUUAGAGGAAAAGUGACUUUUUGUACCCUCCUGCAGGGAGCAGGUUCUCUGUCCUUGUUUAAUUAGACAUUUCUCAGAGAAUCCUGCCUCUGCUCUGAAGCCUUUCUGUUCGCUCCAGUGAAAAUUAGUCAUCCACCGGGCGCGGUGGCUCACGCCUGCAAUCCCAGCACUUUGGGAGGCCGAGGUCUGGGCUUGAUGUUCACCGAUUUUCCCUCAGCUCCGACUGUGGCUCCUCUCAGCUGACUCUGACCCUGCUCUCAGCCGGGCUGCAUCUGCCCAUCUCAGCACAUCAAUAAACAGCAGAGGGAAACUACCACCUUGGAAGGAGCCAGGCAGUUUCUGCUGGGUAGGCCGCAGCCUGGAACAUGGAAGUAGCUUCUUCCAUCCUACACUGGAAACCACCCAGCAUCCCGGGCCCUCCAGAGAAGAGCCAGACUCCCUUCCCUGGGAAGAGACUAUAGUCCUAUCUGUAUCCUCCGUGGUCAUUGCCCCUCAGUCACAGCAAUGAAGAGCAAAUUACCUGUUUUCUGUAUGUUCCUCUGACAACAACUGCCACAGAGUAAAUAUGAAAGGUUCUGGAUGAUUCCUUGUCAGCUUUUAUUAAAAUUCCACAUACUUGGCAU